CCAAUAGCGUAUAUUAAAGUUGUUGCAGUUAAAAGGCUCGUAGUUGAAUUUCGGGGUUAGUAGGUUGGUCGUGCCACUGGUAUGUACUGGCUUCACUGAUUCCUCCUUCUUGAAGAACUGUAAUGCCAUUAAUUUGGUGUUGCAGGGAAACAGGACUGUUACUUUGAAAAAAUUAGAGUGUUUAAAGCAGGCUAACGCUUGAAUACAUUAGCAUGGAAUAAUGAAAUAGGACGUUUAAUUCUAUUUUGUUGGUUUCUAGGAUUGACGUAAUGAUUAAUAGGGAUAGUUGGGGGCAUUAGUAUUCAAUUGUCAGAGGUGAAAUUCUUGGAUUUAUUGGAGACUGACUACUGCGAAAGCAUUUGCCAAGGAUGUUUUCAUUAAUCAAGAACGAAAGUUAGGGGAUCGAAGACGAUCAGAUACCGUCGUAGUCUUAACCAUAAACUAUGCCGACUAGGGAUCGGAUGAUGUUAAUUUUUUAAUGACUCAUUCGGCGCCUUACG
rnacentral:rRNA from 1 species